GUCCUAAUCACUGGUCUUCAUUAAUUAUGAUUUCAUAACAAUUAGCUUGUGAUUUCUCUGUCUUAAAAAUGUUAUUUCUCAGGAAUUUCCCUAUAUAAGAGUUGUUGAAAGGGAAUCUUCCUGAAGUUUAGGUAAUAGAUAGAACUUGUCAUUUGUUUGGGCUUUUGAAGUUCAGAAUGACUGAAGCUUCAGCUGCCCAGGCUCCACAGGAACUGGAGGGACUUUUGAUAGUGAAGGUAGAAGAGGAAGAUCGUGCCUGGGGAAAGGAAUCUGACCCCCCUGGUAACAAAGCCUAUAUCCAAGAGAUCUCCCACUUUAGACAUUUCUGCUACCAGGAGACAGGAGGUCCAAGGGAUGCUCUGAACCGACUCCAGAACUGUGUCAUCGGUGGCUGAGGCUCGAGGUACACACAAAGGAACAGAUCCUGGAGCUCCUGGUGUUGGAGCAGUUUCUGACUAUCCUGCCUGAUUCACUGCAGACCUGGGUCCGCGAUCAUCAUCCAGAGAGUGGAGAAGAAGCUGUGAUGUUGCUGGAGGAUUUAGAGAGAAACCUUGAUGAGCCAGGAAAACAGGUCCAAGCCUGUGCACGGGGACAUGAAGUGCUUUUGGAGAAGAUGACAUCUGUAGGAGUAUUAGAUGAUUUACAGAAGGCCCAGUUCCAUCUGGUGGAGACCCAGACUCCACGUGAAAGAGUUUCAGAUGGUACCAGAUGCAGUUCCACAAAGUUGUCUCCAAAGCAAGAAUUUUUGAAAGAAGUGGAACCACAUGAAAAGAUAACUUAUAAAUUUAAUGGAGAAAUUCCACAGGCUUCUAAAGAUGGAGAAGCAUGUGAACAAGGUGUCAGGUAAACAUGGUGAAUCAGAAAGUAAUUUCAUCCAGAACUCAGUCGUUAUUGAAAGUCAAAGGCAUCAAAUAGGGGAGAAAGCCUG
rnacentral:lncRNA from 1 species